rnacentral:rRNA from 1 species
CCUACGGGAGGCAGCAGUGGGGAAUAUUGCACAAUGGGGGAAACCCUGAUGCAGCGACGCCGCGUGAAGGAAGAAGUAUUUCGGUAUGUAAACUGCUAUCAGCAGGGAAGAAAAUGACGGUACAUGACUAAGAAGCCCCGGCUAACUACGUGCCAGCAGCCGCGGUAAUACGUAGGGGGCAAGCGUUAUCCGGAUUUACUGGGUGUAAAGGGAGCGUAGGCGGUUUAGCAAGUCAGAAGUGAAAGCCCGGGGCUCAAAUCCGGGACUGCUUUUGAAACUGGUGAACUAGAUUGCAGGAGAGGUAAGUGGAAUUCCUAGUGUAGCGGUGGAAUGCGUAGAUAUUAGGAGGAACACCAGUGGCGAAGGCGGCUUACUGGACUGUAAAUGACGCUGAGGCUCGAAAGCGUGGGGAGCAAACAGGAUUAGAUACCCGUGUAGUC